rnacentral:rRNA from 1 species
UACGGGGGGGGGCAAGCGUUGUUCGGAAUUACUGGGCGUAAAGGGCUCGUAGGCGGCCAACUAAGUCAGACGUGAAAUCCCUCGGCUUAACCGGGGAACUGCGUCUGAUACUGGAUGGCUAGAGGUUGGGAGAGGGAUGCGGAAUUCCAGGUGUAGCGGUGAAAUGCGUAGAUAUCUGGAGGAAUACCGGUGGCGAAGGCGGCAUCCUGGACCGACAUUGACGCUGAGGAGCGAAAGCUAGGGGAGCAAACGGG